AUUGAACGCUGGCGGCAUGCUUUACACAUGCAAGUCGAACGGCAGCGCGGGGGCAACCCUGGCGGCGAGUGGCGGACGGGUGAGUAAUGCAUCGGAACGUAUCCUGUAAUGGGGGAUAACGUAGCGAAAGUUACGCUAAUACCGCAUACGCUCGGGAGAGGAAAGUGGGGGAUCGCAAGACCUCACGUUACAGGAGCGGCCGAUGUCCGAUUAGCUAGUUGGUGGGGUAAAGGCCUACCAAGGCGACGAUCGGUAGCUGGUCUGAGAGGAUGAUCAGCCACACUGGGACUGAGACACGGCCCAGACUCCUACGGGAGGCAGCAGUGGGGAAUUUUGGACAAUGGGCGAAAGCCUGAUCCAGCCAUGCCGCGUGCGGGAAGAAGGCCUUCGGGUUGUAAACCGCUUUAGUCCGGGAAAAGGGCUGACGUGCUAAUACCGCGUUGGUUUGAUGGUACUGGAAGAAUAAGCACCGGCUAACUACGUGCCAGCAGCCGCGGUAAGG
rnacentral:rRNA from 1 species